CUGCUGCCUCCCGUAGGAGUUUGGGCCGUGUCUCAGUCCCAAUGUGGCCGGUCACCCUCUCAGGUCGGCUACUGAUCGUUGCCUUGGUGAGCCGUUACCUCUCCAACUAGCUAAUCAGACGCGGGUCCAUCUCAUACCACUCAGUUUUCACACCAAACCAUGCGGUUUUGUGCGCUUAUGCGGUAUUAGCAGUCAUUUCUAACUGUUAUCCCCCUGUAUGAGGCAGGUUACCACGCGUUACUCACCGUCCG
rnacentral:rRNA from 1 species